rnacentral:rRNA from 1 species
GUGUCAGCCGCCGCGGUAAUACAGAGGGUGCAAGCGUUAAUCGGAAUUACUGGGCGUAAAGCACGCGUAGGUGGUUUGUUAAGUUGAAUGUGAAAUCCCCGGGCUCAACCUGGGAACUGCAUCCAAAACUGGCAAGCUAGAGUAUGGUAGAGGGUGGUGGAAUUUCCUGUGUAGCGGUGAAAUGCGUAGAUAUAGGAAGGAACACCAGUGGCGAAGGCGACCACCUGGACUGAUACUGACACUGAGGUGCGUAAGCGUGGGGAGCAAACAGGAUUAGAAACCCUGGUAGUCC